rnacentral:snRNA from 1 species
AUUGCUUCUCGGCCUUUUGGCUAAGAUCGAGUGUAGUAUCAUUCUUGUCAGUUUAAUAAAUAAUUGCAUUGCUUUGGGGCCCCUGGGUGGCUCAGUCAGCUAAGCAGCUGACUUCAUGAUCUCAAAGUACGUGGGUUUGAGCCCCGCGUCAGGCUCUGUGAAGACAGCUCAGAGCCUGGAGCCUGCUUCUGAUUCUGUGUCUCCCUC